CAUUACCGACCCAGAAAAAGCCCUCCACCCUUUUCCGGCUCAGGACCAUGGUCUUGGUCUUGAAGGUGCUGAUUCUCAUCCCAGCUGCUUCACACUCAGCUGCGAAUCGCUCCAGUGAGAGAUAAAGAUCACGACCCGAUGAAACCAGCAGAACCACAUCAUCCACAAAGAGCAGAGACCCAAUCCUGAGGCCACCGAACCAGAUCCCCUCAACACCUCGGCUGUGCAUAGAAAUUCUGUCCAAAAAACUUAUGAACAGAAUCGGUGACAAAGGGCAGCCUUGGCAGAGUCCAACCUGCACUGGAAACGAUUCUGAUUUACUGCCAGUGAUGCGGACCAAGGAAAUCUAAAAGGCAAAACUAAGGUAGAGGAAUGUGUGUUUGGUGGAUUAUUUCUCCUCUUUAACAAAACCAGCUGAUGAGUCACCUGUACAUUCAGGUAGAACUGGGAAAGAUAGAGCUGCUGUGUGAGGACCAACACAGCUGACCUUGGGGACAGUCCCCAAUCACUCUGAUUUCUUGGUGGAUGGUUGUUCUCUUCCACAGUAAGAAGGAAAAACAACACUUACUCAUUUUCCGCCAUCAGUGGGUGAAGAAGAUCAAUACGCAGCCAAACCAGCUGGCUCUUCCCCUUCAUGCUGGCCACCAGUCUGGUCCCAUCUAGCUGUGGGGUGGCAUCCCAGUCCUCAAACAGGAGUGGAAAAGAUGAAAACCUGGAACAGCUUCAAUGUUUUCAUCUUGCUCAUCUGUUAGAUCUGCAUUUCCAACCUUUUUCUAAAAUAUAUAGAUUUUAUUUUCUGCUCAGUUUGUUAGACUGUAAACACAAAGCACAUCUUUUCUGUCCCGUAUGACGCAGCUGGUGUCUAUAUAACUUUGAAGAGUGAGGAAUAUUUCAUUUAUCCUCCCAGAUAUCUUUAUUUUUCAGAGGAAUAAAGCUGAUUUGGGCCGUGCAUGAAACAAAUCACAUCAUUGAUGUGAUCGGAAUAUUUAACCCACUGCGGUGAGCUUCAUCAUCAUCAUCAUCAAUCCUGUAAAGUAUUGAGCAUGACGAAGCCAUCUCGUGGACACGUGUUUGGUCCCGGCUGCUUCACGUUUUCUAAUAACACGGAAGAGUUUCUUAUAUGUUCGAGUUUUUGUUUGUUGUGAGUAGCGCCAGUGUUGAAUUUGCACCCCAAAAGAUGAACUUGAUGCUGCCGCAGAGAUGGAGCCCAGAUGCUGGACGAGGUGAACAUCUGCACCACCGCACGUCCCUCUGGUCGGUCUGCACGGCUGCUCAUGUUUUGCUUUAUUGUUUAUUUGGCCUGGAUUGACAAGUUAACGAGUUGCUCUGCAAACAGACGGUGUGUAAGGAACAAUGAUGGCAUUAGAAAGUCGUCUUUUAUGGUGCCUGAGUAUAUUUUUUAUUUUGUUUGGCUUUUUAAAAAAGCUGUUUUGUUUGUCCAAGUGUUUUUUUUGUUUGUUUAUUUCUGUUAAUGACAAACUUUCAGAGCCUAUAAAGAAAGAAAUAAGCUAGCUUGAUAUUUUUUCCUCCAUACAGAUAAAACAAAUACAAAUGUUUACAAGUUGUAAUUAACCAAAUAGAAAAAAUGAGCUCCAACAGAUCUGUGGGCAGAUUCAUUCACAUUUCUUUAUUUCCUUUAUUUUAAACUUGAUGUUAUGACUGUUUGUCCUGUUUCUUUUCUUUUUGUUUUUUUUAAGUUUAUUGAGUUACACUUGUGAGAACAGUGCUUCCUCGGCAGCAUGGUUUACCAAGGUGGAUCUGUCCCCAACACCAGACCGGGUCAUGCUUUACCGGGUGAUGACGUCCACUCACACUGACCUUUAACCCCAGACUCUGUCCAGUCUUGGACUCUGCCUGCUGUGUCUCUCACAGCUGAAAGCAGCCGUUUCUGGAUGGUAAAAACUCACCAUCGUUAGGAUUACACCUACAGAGUAAAACACUAUCACGACGCACCCUACUGUACUGUAGGUAUUCCUGGUUGGAUAACUGGUGUCUAAGACCGUAAUUCAGGCAGUUUAGUGUCAGUUAGUGUGUGAAAGAUGACAACAGCACUUUCAUUUCCUUUUUUUUCUGUCUGCAUCCAGACUUUUCACGUCAUCACUGAAAUCACCACAAUCACAGUUUAAGGUCUGCUGCUGCUCGUAGUUGCCAAGCCGGGUUUGUGUACAGCUGUCGUGCUCCAGCCAUCGUUAUGCUAAAUGAUGAUGAAUGGAGACAAACGGGGCAGUCAGAGAAUGCUACUCUACACCAAAGUGCAAUUGAACGCAGAGGAAGCACUGUUGUUGUCGAGGUGAAGCCCAUCACCGUGCAUGAUACGAUGGUUGUUUUUCUUCUCUAGUGUUAUCCUCUUUCUGUUGGUCUGUCUUAACUCAGACUCCAUGUUUCUUUCUUUCUCUCUCAUGUACAGCUAGCUUCAGUUUGUCCUCAGACAGGUACUCAUUGAUCCGUACGGUUCUUCUGUAGGUUAAUGCAAUGAUUUUAAAAGACAAUAAAAGAUUUAAAAUGAA